rnacentral:rRNA from 1 species
UACGGGGGGGGCAAGCGUUGUUCGGAAUUACUGGGCGUAAAGGGCUCGUAGGCGGCCAACUAAGUCAGACGUGAAAUCCCUCGGCUUAACCGGGGAACUGCAUCUGAUACUGGAUGGCUUGAGUUCGGGAGAGGGAUGCGGAAUUCCAGGUGUAGCGGUGAAAUGCGUAGAUAUCUGGAGGAACACCGGUGGCGAAAGGCGGCAUCCUGGACCGACACUGACGCUGAGAACGCGAAAGCGUGGGGGAGCAAACAGG